CCGCGGGAUUAGAGUUUGAUCCUGGCUCAGAGCGAACGCUGGCGGCAGGCUUAACACAUGCAAGUCGAGCGGGCGUAGCAAUACGUCAGCGGCAGACGGGUGAGUAACGCGUGGGAACGUACCUUUUGGUUCGGAACAACACAGGGAAACUUGUGCUAAUACCGGAUAAGCCCUUACGGGGAAAGAUUUAUCGCCAAAAGAUCGGCCCGCGUCUGAUUAGCUAGUUGGUGAGGUAACGGCUCACCAAGGCGACGAUCAGUAGCUGGUCUGAGAGGAUGAUCAGCCACAUUGGGACUGAGACACGGCCCAAACUCCUACGGGAGGCAGCAGUGGGGAAUAUUGGACAAUGGGCGCAAGCCUGAUCCAGCCAUGCCGCGUGAGUGAUGAAGGCCCUAGGGUUGUAAAGCUCUUUUGUGCGGGAAGAUAAUGACGGUACCGCAAGAAUAAGCCCCGGCUAACUUCGUGCCAGCAGCCGCGGUAAUACGAAGGGGGCUAGCGUUGCUCGGAAUCACUGGGCGUAAAGGGUGCGUAGGCGGGUCUUUAAGUCAGGGGUGAAAUCCUGGAGCUCAACUCCAGAACUGCCUUUGAUACUGAGGAUCUUGAGUUCGGGAGAGGUGAGUGGAACUGCGAGUGUAGAGGUGAAAUUCGUAGAUAUUCGCAAGAACACCAGUGGCGAAGGCGGCUCACUGGCCCGAUACUGACGCUGAGGCACGAAAGCGUGGGGAGCAAACAGGAUUAGAUACCCUGGUAGUCCACGCCGUANACGAUGAAUGCCAGCCGUUAGUGGGUUUACUCACUAGUGGCGCAGCUAACGCUUUAAGCAUUCCGCCUGGGGAGUACGGUCGCAAGAUUAAAACUC
rnacentral:rRNA from 1 species